rnacentral:rRNA from 1 species
AUUGAACGCUGGCGGCAGGCCUAACACAUGCAAGUCGAACGGAGUGGCGGACGGGUGAGUAAUGUCUGGGAAACUGCCUGAUGGAGGGGGAUAACGUCCGGAAACGGGCGCUAAUACCGCAUACUAUCAGAUGAGCCUAGGUCGGAUUAGCUAGUUGGUGGGGUAAAGGCCUACCAAGGCGACGAUCCGUAACUGGUCUGAGAGGAUGCUCAGUCCAACAGAACUGAGACACGGUCCAGACUCCUACGGGAGGCAGCAGUGGGGAAUAUUGGACAAUGGGCGAAAGCCUGAUCCAGCCAUGCCGCGUGUGUUAAGAAGGGCUUCGGAUUGUAAAGCACUUUAAGUUGGGAGGCGUUACCAACAGAAUAAGCACCGGCUAACUUCGUGCCAGCCGCCGCGGUAAUAC